UGAGGAAUAUUGGUCAAUGGCCGGAAGGCUGAACCAGCCAAGUCGCGUGAGGGAAUAAGGCCCUAUGGGUCGUAAACCUCUUUUGUCAGGGAGCAAAGGCGUCCACGUGUGGGCGAAAGGAGAGUACCUGAAGAAAAAGCAUCGGCUAACUCCGUGCCAGCAGCCGCGGUAAUACGGAGGAUGCGAGCGUUAUCCGGAUUUAUUGGGUUUAAAGGGUGCGUAGGCGGAGUGUCAAGUCAGCGGUAAAAUUUCGGGGCUCAACCCCGUCGUGCCGUUGAAACUGACACCCUUGAGUGAGUGAGAAGUAAGCGGAAUGCGUGGUGUAGCGGUGAAAUGCAUAGAUAUCACGCAGAACGCCGAUUGCGAAGGCAGCUUACCGGCGCUCAACUGACGCUGAGGCACGAAAGUGCGGGUAUCGAACA
rnacentral:rRNA from 1 species